UCAGGUGUAUCCCCCUCACAAUCUGACAAUAGCAAUCGAUCCAUCGAAGAGGAAUUAUUGGAAUGUUCACCGAGGUAUGUAGCAUUGAAGGAUCUCUUUCUACCACGAGAAGAAAUCAAACUCACUAUAACGAAUCAUCGACACGCUUCGAUAUACGAAUUUUCUCUGGCACCUAGUUACAGCUGCGAGGACGGGAGUUAUCUUGAAAAUCGUGCCGAUGAAUACGAAUACGAUGAUAGAACGGGAGAGGAAUCUUACAUUAAACCAAAACGUCUCGAUUUUUUCAAUAUCGACAGAAACGGGACAUAUUGUGACCUCGAUCAGGAUUACGAGAGGAACGAGACCGAUUUACAUUCGCAAUCAAUUCGCAGGAUCGAUUCGAACGGUGGACAAUAAUAUGCGCGUUCAAGCUUUAACCGAUGUUUUUUAAG